UCCAAUAGACGGUGUUAACUGGUACUAUCUUCUGGUCAUCUACAGUCUACAUCUACAGCCAUCUCCUGACGUAACAGCUGUGCAGAGAGGCACUGUCUUUCUGGAACGUAUCAUCCAAGGAAAGGCUUCCGUGCUCUGGGCUUGAAGGGAUAGAUUUUGAGGGAUAAGUGCAGCUAUUGGCAUCAAAUACCGAAGGGAGCAAUUCACCACGGGGCCAGUGGCUCUCUGGAGAGAAGACAACUUGGAUUAGAACCUAGCCUCGGGCUGCUUGGGUAUGAUAUGGAGAGGAGCUCACUUAAUAAAGUGGUUGCCAUGGAAAUGAGAGGACCCAAACUUUGUUCUCCAGCACCCAUAGAAGCAGCCAGAGGUGGGCGUGCAUUUAUGGGAGGCUGAGACAGACGGCUGUCUCACCGAUGAGCCGGAUGAGCCCUUCUUCAAAAGAUAAGGUGAUGGGACACGUCUGCUAAUACUGACUCAUCACAACUGUCAUUAAUCGAGCUUGAGACCUGUUCCCCUCUGAGGUGCUCAGCGCGUCGUCAAACCAGUUUUUUACUCGGAAAGACAGAUGGCAUCAACGUGAAAGAUGUCUUCUAAGUCCCAUCACCACCUGGGUGAAGGAUGUUUGAAAGACGCUACAUCCUGCAUUGGGGGGCAGGCAGGCAGCCACAGCGAGGCUGUGAGGGUGGUGAGGCUGUGAGGUGACCAGUCCUGCUGGCAGAGCCUCUGGGGAUGAUGGGGGAGGGGGUCAGAGACACCCCCUGCAGAGCAAAUGGAGAAGAGAAACCAUCCGUGAGGGGAGGCAGGAGCUCAGAGCCGGCGGCAGUUGGGAACAAGUCUGUUUUUUAUGGAGCUCGCAAACCUGAACUCGAAUAUUAAAAAUGCUUUCAUCAGUCCCCUUAA